rnacentral:rRNA from 1 species
AGAUUGAACGCUGGCGGCAUGCCUUACACAUGCAAGUCGAACGGCAGCACGGGGGCAAUCCUGGUGGCGAGUGGCGAACGGGUGAGUAACAUAUCGGAACGUGCCCUGGAGUGGGGGAUAACUAGUCGAAAGACUAGCUAAUACCGCAUACGAUCUACGGAUGAAAGUGGGGGAUCGCAAGACCUCAUGCUCGUGGAGCGGCCGAUAUCUGAUUAGCUAGUUGGUGGGUAAAGCCUACCAAGGCAUCGAUCAGUAGCUGGUCUGAGAGGACGACCAGCCACACUGGGACUGAGACACGGCCCAGACUCUACGGGAGCAGCAGUGGGAAUUUGGACAAGUGGGCGCGAACGCCUGACUCCAGCAAUCGCCGCGUGAGUAGGAA